rnacentral:rRNA from 1 species
AGUGAACGCUGGCGGUAGGCCUAACACAUGCAAGUCGAACGGCAGCACAGGAGAGCUUGCUCUCUGGGUGGCGAGUGGCGGACGGGUGAGGAAUACAUCGGAAUCUACUCUGUCGUGGGGGAUAACGUAGGGAAACUUACGCUAAUACCGCAUACGACCUACGGGUGAAAGCAGGGGACCUUCGGGCCUUGCGCGAUUGAAUGAGCCGAUGUCGGAUUAGCUAGUUGGCGGGGUAAAGGCCCAACAAGGCGACGAUCCGUAGCUGGUCUGAGAGGAUGAACAGCCACACUGGAACUGAGACACGGUCCAGACUCCUACAGGAGGCAGCAGUGGGGAAUAUUGGACAAUGGGCGCAAGCCUGAUCCAGCCAUACCGCGUGGGUGAAGAAGGCCUUCGGGUUGUAAAGCCCUUUUGUUGGGAAAGAAAUCCAGCUGGCUAACACCCGGUUGGGAUGACGGUACCCAAAGAAUAAGCACCGGCUAACUUCGUGCCAGCCGCCGCAGUAA